CGCACAUUGCGCCCUCUGGUAUUCCGGGGGGCAUGCCUGUCCGAGCGUCAUUGCAACUCUCAAGCGUAGCUUGGUUUUGGACUUCACUUCGCAAGUAGUGGGUUCGAAAAGCAGUGGCUGUCCGGGGUGACUUCGAGUGUAGUAAAUUUUCCCGCUCUGAAGCUCAUGUUGUGACUGCCAGAACGUCAAUCUUCCAGAUUGACCUCGGAUCAGGUAGGGAUACCCGCUGAACUUAA
rnacentral:misc_RNA from 1 species